rnacentral:rRNA from 1 species
AGAACGAACGCUGGCGGCAGGCUUAACACAUGCAAGUCGAACGCCCCGCAAGGGGAGUGGCAGACGGGUGAGUAACGCGUGGGAAUCUACCUGGUUCUACGGAAUAACACAGGGAAACUUGUGCUAAUACCGUAUACGCCCUAUGGGGGAAAGAUUUAUCGGUGCCAGAUGAGCCCGCGUAAGAUUAGCUAGUUGGUGGGGUAAUGGCCUACCAAGGCGACGAUCUUUAGCUGGUCUGAGAGGAUGAUCAGCCACACUGGGACUGAGACACGGCCCAGACUCCUACGGGAGGCAGCAGUGGGGAAUAUUGGACAAUGGGCGAAAGCCUGAUCCAGCCAUGCCGCGUGAGUGAUGAAGGCCUUAGGGUUGUAAAGCUCUUUCAGUGGGGAAGAUAAUGACGGUACCACAGAAGAAGCCCGGCUAACUUCGUGCCAGCAGCCG